GUUCAGGGUGCGAGUGAGGGCAGGGAUGGCGGUGAGCAAGGAAGAGUGAGAACGUUACUUCAGGCCUCCAGCAACAGAUGUGACCACAUAAAAGCAGGGGAUUAAGGUUAUUUCCUCAAAACGAGCAGCCUUGAGCUUUUAGGCCACGUGACCGCAAACCAGUGAAUGAGCUGAGGUUCCGAAUGAGCAGGACUCGUUUAUCUGUAGCAGCAGCUUGAUGAAAACAAAAUGAAUUAGUACAUUCGUUAUAAUGGCCCUGAAAUGUUCCCCGUACAGAUAAGAUGGGCCACAUAUCCCGUGUUUUAUCCACAUCAGGGUAAAUCAGAAGCAGUAAACGCCGUCGUUUCCUCGUGUCGACCAGCAGGGGGCAGCCUGGUUCCAGGCGUACGUCAACGGGCAGCGCUGAACGGACAGCGGACUCAUUUGCAUUUAAUGAAUGAAUAAAACACAUUUAAAACCCGUUUCAAUAAAACUGACCACAUUCAGAAAGGGAGGAUUGGCGAAGAGCUGAGCUUAUUAGACUGCCUUGAAUUUAUUAACUUGUACUUAAUAAAGUGUCAGACGGGUCAUUAUCGGUGUCAUGGUACUCAGGACGGGUGUUAGAGCCCCUACGUUCCUCAGUGGUCCCUGUCUGGGAAUCAUCACCUACAGCAGUGGACGUUUUUCUCUUUUAUAACCGGUAGAAAACAGAACCUGUGAUAAGCGUCCACCCGGGAGCGGCGCCAUAACGGACGCAACAUAAUCCGAAUGUUCUGCUUCUCCGAAAGCCCCAGUUUGUUUCAGCUGCUGCUCUAGUGGAAAAGCGCAAGCUGUGAUUGAUGGACGAUGCCUGAAUCGGUGCUGUACAUGCUGCCGUAAACCACCACAAUCCCAGAGUAAGCCUCCGCUGUGUCGGUGCCGGUCCCAGAGGUCCACUCAGCAGCCUGCGCUCCAGAGAGGAAACGGACUCUAACGCACCAACACGCACAGUGCAUCUGGGCUGGAGGCUCUCAUGCAUCCUUCUGAGGCUAAUGCGCCGGCUAAAGGCAGACUUCUAAGAGCCCCGGUUCAGGAAUGAAACUCCUGGAGACGGUGCCGACACACAGCCCACAUCAAAGAGUGCAGAACGGACCCUUUCGCAUCCCAGUGGAAGGCCAGACAGCUGGAAAGUGUUCUCCUGUGAAGCUGAGCCACUGAGAGGAACCUCCAGCUGCCAGCUUGUUGAGCCUUGUUUAGUGCUCAGCGUGCUCGGGGUUUUGAAACAGCGAAUUGAACGCUUCUAGGUUUGAAUAUGGAUCUGACGUGGGCCGAGAGGGGAAAGGAGGCCACUUGGAAGCUUUGGGGAUGCCGUCCUCCCACAGAUGGACUUGUGGCGCUGAGGGAAGCGGACACGUAUGUUACACAUGGCAGGCCUCCCCAGUGUGACGGGACCGGUCGGGAUUAGAGCCGCAACCACAACAAAUGAACACACACAGGCAUUAACACAGGGAAAGAGAGGACAGCCACAUGGAAAUUCACUGGUAUUUAUUUUAUUUUAAAAUAAUCUUAUUUUCUCGUUUAGUUCUUUUGAGCUUAAUUUUGUUGCCAUGCCUUUAAAACUUCACUACUAUCCACUUCUAAACAUCUCAGGACUUCACAAUAGAAAUCCCCCAAUGACGCCUACUGUACAUCUAGAACUUUAAAUAAAACUCUGUAAUAAUAAUAA